rnacentral:rRNA from 1 species
AGUGAACGCUGGCGGCAGGCCUAACACAUGCAAGUCGAGCGGCAGCGCGGGGGCAACCCUGGCGGCGAGCGGCGGACGGGUGAGGAAUUCGUCGGAAUCUGCCUUUUUGUGGGGGAUAACGUAGGGAAACUUACGCUAAUACCGCAUACGUCCUACGGGUGAAAGUGGGGGACCGCAAGGCCUCACGCAGAAAGAUGAGCCGACGACCGAUUAGCUAGUUGGUGGGGUAAAGGCCCACCAAGGCGACGAUCGGUAGCUGGUCUGAGAGGAUGAUCAGCCACACUGGGACUGAGACACGGCCCAGACUCCUACGGGAGGCAGCAGUGGGGAAUAUUGGACAAUGGGCGCAAGCCUGAUCCAGCCAUGCCGCGUGUGUGAAGAAGGCCUUCGGGUUGUAAAGCACUUUUGUCCGGAAAGAAAUCCCUGGAGCUAAUACCUUCGGGUGAUGACGGUACCGGAAGAAUAAGCACCGGCUAACUUCGUG